GGGUACUCACUUCGUAUCAUCAAAGAUCUUUGGAAUUACGUUAUCGACUCAGAAGCUUAUAUUGGUAUUCUCAAGAAUUAUUUCUGGUGAGGGUCUUCUGCGUAUCCGACCGGGUUAGACGUUCCAUUAUGAGUUUAUUAUUAUUAUUAAGGCUAUAUGCAUGAUAGGGUAAUGUCCAUUUAAUCUUAAGAUUUUAUAUGCUUCUUUACCAUAUUUAUUACUUAAUAUGAUACAUGUUCUGUUACUUUGCCGAUAUAUUUAAUUUAGUAUAUGUGUUAAUAUGAGCAGUAGCUACGUGGGUCGUCAGCAUAUGUGAGUCGGGAUCCCAAAUAAAAUAUGGAUAUAAAUUAGAUUAUAGAAUUAGCCUUAUGCGUUAUAUGUUGUAUACCUCUUAUAUGAAUAUUUGUACCAUAGAGUGACUAGGAUGUAGAUCCUCACUCAGUGAUUAGCACUGACUCUUACUUUCCAUUUCAGAGCGACAGUAGGCUUUACUGGGUCACACACUGCAAAAUGGUAUCAUCGAGCUCCGGGGUCGGUCAUCAUGGUGACGACGCCAGGUAGAUAUCGAAGAUUGUGUCUUGAUCCUCGUUUUGUAUUUAAAGUUUGUUUGAGACUCUUACUUCCAUCAUGUGCAUAUGUUAUGAGUGGUUGUGUACUAGUACAAUGUGAGAUAUGGUUUUGUAAAAUAUAGUGGCCGAGAGGGCAAGUAUAUGGUUACUCUGGUCCGAGCCUGUGAAGCUCGAGACUUCUGUUCUAUAUGUAUAUGCGUCAUGUUGGACUUUUGGUAUAGUGUAUGAUAUUGUGAAAAGUCAAUAAGUCAUAUAUGACAUCUUGAGC
rnacentral:lncRNA from 1 species